UUCUCGGUGUAGCGGUGAAUUGAGUAGAUAUCGGGAGGAACUACCUGUGGCGAAAGCGGCGCACUGGACUAUAACUGACGCUGAGGCGCGAAAGCUAGGGGAGCAAACAGGAUUAGAUACCCUGGUAGUCCUAGCCCUAAACGAUGAUUGCUUGGUGUAGCAGGUACCCAAUCAUGCUGUGCCGCAGCUAACGCGAUAAGCAAUCCGCUUGGGGAGUACGGUCGCAAGGUUGAAACUCAAAGGAAUUGACGGGGGCCCGCACAAGCGGUGGAGCAUGUGGUUCAAUUCGACGCAACGCGAAGAACCUUACCUGGGCUCGAAGCGCAGUGGACCGGGGUAGAAAUAUCCCUUCCCCUUAAAAGGCUGCUGCGGAGGUGCUGCAUGGCUGUCGUCAGCUCGUGUCGUGAGAUGUUGGGUUAAGUCCCGCAACGAGCGCAACCCUUAUCCCUAGUUGCCAUCGGGUCAAGCCGGGCACUCUAGUGAAACUGCCUCGGAUAACGAGGAGGAAGGUGGGGAUGACGUCAAGUCCUCAUGGCCUUUAUGUCCAGGGCUACACACGUGCUACAAUGGUCGGUACAAACCGUCGCAAACCCGUGAGGGGGAGCUAAUCGGAAAAAGCCGGCCUCAGUUCGGAUUGGAGUCUGCAACUCGACUCCAUGAAGCUGGAAUCGCUAGUAAUCGCGGAUCAGAACGCCGCGGUGAAUACGUUCCCGGGCCUUGUACACACCGCCCGUCACAUCACGAAAGUGGGCCGUACUAGAAGCCGGUGUGCUAACCGCAAGGAGGCAGCCGUCCAAGGUACAGCUCAUGAUUGGGGUGAAGUCGUAACAAGGUAACC
rnacentral:rRNA from 1 species